rnacentral:rRNA from 1 species
AUUGAACGCUGGCGGCAGGCCUAACACAUGCAAGUCGAGCGGAUGAAGGGAGCUUGCUCCUGGAUUCAGCGGCGGACGGGUGAGUAAUGCCUAGGAAUCUGCCUGGUAGUGGGGGAUAACGUCCGGAAACGGGCGCUAAUACCGCAUACGUCCUGAGGGAGAAAGUGGGGGAUCUUCGGACCUCACGCUAUCAGAUGAGCCUAGGUCGGAUUAGCUAGUUGGUGGGGUAAAGGCCUACCAAGGCGACGAUCCGUAACUGGUCUGAGAGGAUGAUCAGUCACACUAGAAGUUGACCAGGGACCUGGCGACUGCGAGACGGCGCAGUCUGGAAUAUUGGGCAACAGUCGAAAGUCUUACACAGCGGGGGGGCGUGUGUGGAGAAGAUGUUGGGAGUGGGAAGAACUUCUUCUUGGGGGGAAGGGCUGUAGGCUAAUACGAAGCGGUUGUGACGGUACCGGCAAAAGAAGCACCGGCUAACUUCGUG